UACGUAGGGUGCGAGCGUUAAUCGGAAUUACUGGGCGUAAAGCGUGCGCAGGCGGUUUUGUAAGACAGGUGUGAAAUCCCCGGGCUUAACCUGGGAACUGCAUUUGUGACUGCAAGGCUAGAGUGCGGCAGAGGGGGGUAGAAUUCCACGUGUAGCAGUGAAAUGCGUAGAGAUGUGGAGGAAUACCGAUGGCGAAGGCAGCCCCCUGGGUCGACACUGACGCUCAUGCACGAAAGCGUGGGGAGCAAACAGG
rnacentral:rRNA from 1 species